rnacentral:rRNA from 1 species
GUGAGGAAUAUUGCGCAAUGGAGGCAACUCUGACGCAGCCAUGCCGCGUGCAGGAAGAAGGCGCUACGCGUUGUAAACUGCUUUUAACCGGGAAGAAACCCCAGGACGUGUCCUGGGUUGACGGUACCGGAGGAAUAAGCACCGGCUAACUUCGUGCCAGCAGCCGCGGUAAUACGAAGGGUGCAAGCGUUAUCCGGAUUCAUUGGGUUUAAAGGGUGCGUAGGCGGAGCGUUAAGUCAGUGGUGAAAUCCUGCAGCUUAACUGUAGACUUGCCAUUGAGACUGGCGCUCUUGAGUGCGCUUGAAGUGGGCGGAAUGUGCCGUGUAGCGGUGAAAUGCUUAGAUAUGGCACAGAACACCAAUUGCGAAGGCAGCUCACUAAGGCGAUACUGACGCUGAGGCACGAAAGCGUGGGGAUCGAACAGGAUUAGAUACCCCUGUAGUCC